CAUUGAAAGUCAGGGCUUUCCUUUGGUGUACUUCUUUGGAAGAGCAGUGCUCAGCCACGCGCAUCAUUUGCUUGUCAGAUUGGAAACAACAAAAAAUGUCUAGUGGACACGAGCACAAGAAAAACGAUUCUCGCGCGCGGCGUCUGCGGCCAAUCGGCCAAUCGCGAAGUAGCAUCUCUCUCCGCCUUCCAUUGUGAGUUGUGACAAUUGAACCGGGUCCUUGACCUUCCCCGAUGUUCGGAGGGAUUAAUUUCAAGUGUCAAUUCUAAGAACCUGCGCGUGCUCGGGAGACUUGCAGCCGGGGCCACUUCUUUUAUCUGCAGGAGGUCGGGGUGCUUACCAGUGAAGGGGCAGUGUGCCUAUGAGAAGCAACGGGCAUGGUGGAGGUUCUUCCUGCUCCGACGUCGAAGCGGAAGUGUGUUCAAGAAUUUUUCGCUUAGGUAAACAAUAAUCUUUUGCUGAAUACCCCGGCAUGCAGUAUAGCACAAGUGUAACAUCUAUUAAAGUGUCAUAGCCUCCCUAAUUUAGGAUCACCUAGUCCCAGUUUCUAUUCACCGACUGGUCUACCUACAUGUACUAGAAUACAACACCGAAGUGUGAAAGGCUAACAGUUCAUAAGCUCUUCACAUUUAUCAUGCAUGCAUGGUGUAGCAAAGUUUUCUUUCAACAUGGA